UGAAAACACCACCAAAAAAUACCCCACUCAGCAAUAUUUAAUUUUAUGUGACAACAUAUCCAUUCGGCCUCGCUGCUAAUUAGUCCAAAUUAGAAACUGUUAGGUCACCAAUUAAUCAGCUAAUAUGUUAAACGGGUUGGCAGAAUGUGAAGAAGGGGAACUUAAGUUCAGACAAGUAGCCCUUUAUUGAACAUUAAUCUCCAUAAUGGUUGCAGUGUUUUCUUCAGGGCUGUGAGCUGGAAGCAUUUCAUAAUGUUGCAAACUAAUUGCAUUGUCUCGACCAUUAAUCUUGUGUGAUCCAAACUGAUUGCAAAGUAAAUUUAGACGGGGAUAAUAAUUCAUCUGUAAAAAGUUCAGGGCAACAAUUUCAGCUGCUAUUAUCCAGUCUGCAGAAGCAGCCUAGAUACUCAGCGGUAGACUAAAGUUUGGUUUUGUAAUUCUCUUUGACAGAUAUCCUUCACUUAGAACUGAUAUAAUGAAUUCAUAUAGAGGCUGGUUGCCUUCUUUCAAAAUUGUUACAUGUUGUAACGUGGUGGCGCUUUUAUUUCCUGUCAUAAGGCGGACCCCUGGUGGUAAGGACUUAACAUUACAUAGGAUCAUCACUUUUUAAACAUUCAACAGAUAUUUAUGGAUUUAAUGAAGAAAGAGUGAUUUCCUCUCUCAGGAUCAGGGAAUUUAGUGUACACAUCUUUGUGGGCAGGUGUGAAACAUUUUCUCACCGAUUGCACUGAAUCUUUACCCAUUGAAUCUUUUAGCCAUGAAAGCCAUGUUGUGUCAGUGUCAUUGCUUUGUAUGAGAUAGGACUGAUUUUGGCGACACACACCUGACACCACUUCUUGAAAAUGUACCAAACUACUUCAUGGAUUCAAGAGCUCAAACUUUUCACAGUUGUUUGUCCUAACUUCAAGUCAUAGCAGUGUCAAACCAAUCAGAGUCAAAGCAAUAAAAGAACCACAGGGAAACUGGAAUAUAAUAUGAUGCUUUAAAAUCUCCUGAAUUUAGCCCAAGGAGGAAACCUCAGUGACAUAGACGCAGGUACAGAUACUUAGGGCACUAUACAUUAAAUACACAAUGACUCCCCUCUGGACAGGGAGAGGAGACUUCUUCUGAAUGACAAUGCACAUUCGAUACUCAUUUGCACAGUUAUAUUUAGAGAGACAUAUAAGCGUUUUUACUGUAUGUAUAGUAACAUAGUAGUCUAAAUUAAUAUCUAUCUAUCUAUCUAUCAUUCAUUCAGACAAUGUGUUUUAUACCCAUGUGUGGAUCAACAGUUUUUCUAUUAAGGAUUAAAAAAGCCAAGGGGCAGGGGUCAGCAGGGGACUGGUUCAAGGCCGACUGUGGAAAAGAGACGGGGUGCAGGCUGCCUUUUGUUCCCAGGAGGGUGUCCUGAGAGUGAAACCUGUCACGGAGCCCAGCAAACUCCAACACUGCUUGACACAUCUGGCACACAGAGCCGCUGAGCUGCUAAGCCUCUGCAUCCUGCAGUCGAGCGUCACAGAGAUUCCGGAUGCAGGCAAGCAGAGUUUCUCCUGAAGCUGUGAUCCUGAGCUUUUCAUACUCAAGGUACCGAAAGUACCAUAGGUAACAGGGUUCCAACACCCAAAAGAUGGCAACAAGUGCAGCUGCAGCGACAGCUCCGUCUCGACUCGUGGAAAAGAAAAACAGGAAGGCAAGGAAGUGCCUCCAUCUGCUCCAUCAGACAUAGCUGCUUUGCCACCUUCCUUCAAGUUAGUGUGGAGUUCAUGCAUGUAUUUUGGUGAAUAUCUGUGUGAAUUUGCUCUGCAUUAAAUUGGGUUUUUGUGUGCAAA